CCUACGGGAGGCAGCAGUGGGGAAUAUUGGACAAUGGGGGCAACCCUGAUCCAGCCAUGCCGCGUGUGUGAAGAAGGCCCUCGGGUUGUAAAGCACUUUCAGUGAGGAAGAACGCUUGGUGGUUAAUACCCAUCAGGAAAGACAUCACUCACAGAAGAAGCACCGGCUAACUCCGUGCCAGCAGCCGCGGUAAUACGGAGGGUGCGAGCGUUAAUCGGAAUUACUGGGCGUAAAGCGCGCGUAGGUGGCUUGAUAAGCCGGUUGUGAAAGCCCCGGGCUCAACUUGGGAACGGCAUCCGGAACUGUCAAGCUAGAGUGCAGGAGAGGAAGGUAGAAUUCCCGGUGUAGCGGUGAAAUGCGUAGAGAUCGGGAGGAAUACCAGUGGCGAAGGCGGCCUUCUGGACUGACACUGACACUGAGGUGCGAAAGCGUGGGUAGCAAACAGGAUUAGAUACCCUUGUAGUC
rnacentral:rRNA from 1 species